AUGGAUCCCGUUUUUUUGACUUUCAAAUGAUAACUUCUCUUGGGUUACCAAGGAAAUCAAUUGUGUCCUCUCUAUGACUGUACUGCUGUUCUUUCUGUUCUGCUAUUAGGUUCUUAGGAAUUGUGGGAGUUGAAGUCCAAAACACCUGGAGGGCUGAAGUUUUCCCAUGCCUGUUACAAGGCCAAAAAUACACAAUUGUAAAUUGUAAUGAAAAGAUAGCUAAAGGAUUUAAAAGAACAAUGUGCUUGUUUAAAAUACUUCUAUACAAUACAAGUGACAAAAUUUAUAGACAUAUUCUCUACAGCCAUACUAUAAGAAAGGCAGAAGAGGCCCCACAGUGUCCAGCUGCAAUGGAUUCACUUAAGGCAUCUUAUGACUUGAGAGAGCUCUGUAAUCCUCGCCAAUGCCCCAGUCUACAGCACCUCAGAAGCUCUUCAGCUGGGACACUAUCAACCUUAGGAGUGCCUUGGCUGAUGUCACGCCUGUUGCAAAGGGAGGACCAAAGCCAUUUCAAGGCUAGAAUCACAGCAAUGGGAUGGACAGAUGGGGAAGGUAAGGGAAGCCAUCCAGAUCCAUUUAGAAUAAUCUUUCAGAGAGCUCCAUUGCCUCACCAAAUUAAAAAUCUAAGGAAUCAGCAGGACGGAGAGGGUAGUUAAAAUGAUGCUAUAAUUGUGUAGUGUGGAGACACCCUAGGUCUAUCUCCACCUGUACUCUUUCCUUACUUUUUUGCCCCUUUCAUAUUUUCCCUUCUCAAAGGAAAAAAACAUGGAACAGCUGAAUAGGACUUUCUGUUUCUUAGUGAAAGCAAAUGCUCCUGAUCAAAUUAUGAAUGGCAGUCCAUGUUAGAUGCUGGUUUGAGAGCACAUGUUUCAUUUCUUUUUAAUAAUUUGUAUGCGUAGACAUUAUAGAAGACCUAAUUAAAAUGUCAAAUUGGGAUGUUUGUAAUGUGGAAAUAAGAAUGUUUUGUCUUUUCCAUCAACAUGAGUUUUUACUGCUCUUUGGUAAUCAGCACACUGUGACCUGUCACAACAAUCAAUUUUUUAACCUCUUGUUCUUUCCCUCUAUUCCUUAUCAAGAAGCAGAAUAAUCAGAUCAUGGAAGUGAUUCUAUUUUUUUUAGUACUUGGAAAUAUACGCUCAAUGUUGGCAGAACAUUGAGUUCUGCAGCCGUGAUUAAAAUGCACAAUAUUUUGUCGUAAGAUCUCCCUCUGCAGACACUUGUUGUGCUACAUUAGCCAGUUGUGCUGCACUAUUAUUGCAUGAUCAUUAGGUUAAUAUGAUCUUCAAAUUUGGAGAUAAGGGAUUAAAAUCAAAGCUCUUUUUACAUCAUAAUACAGCUUUACUGAAAAUGGAACAACACAUAUCAUUAUCAUCCUUUUACACAAAUGGAAUUUUUUGUUGGCAAAAUUGGAAGAACAUAUAACUGGUACAUAAACUGUACAAAUCAUACUGGGAUUAAAAUGUCAAGAAAGGUUUGCUCUGCUACUGUGGGUUCUGCAUGUGUAACAAUAAAUAGUGUUAUUUUUCAGGCAUUUGAUCACUGCUACAGCUUUUUCAAUGUUUCUUUUAGCUACUUUAAACUGUAAUAUUGUUUGACAUCAACCUAUGAUUUUUAAGAUUAAGUCAGUGGUUGCUGUGGUUUUUAGUUUUAACUAUGUAUGCAUUGAUUACAACUAAAAUUUUAAUAUCCAUUAUAUUUAAUUCUAUUGUAACAUUUAUAUAUUUGUAGAUUAAUAUAGAUUUAUAUAUUUGUAGAAUAAUACUGAAAUGCUUUUAAUGUAAGCCUCUUUGAGUCUCCUUAUGGUGGGAAAAAAUGAGGUAUAAAUUAUGUUUCAUCAUCAUCAUCAUCAUCAUCAUCAACCACAGGCCAAUGAAACCAUAAAAUUUGGAUUUCAUGUGGUUUUUGAAACAACCCACUGAUCCUAAUGGCAGACUAUCAAUAUUCUCCUUCUCUAAAAGAAGCAGUUCACCAAAACAUUACAAUAAAAAGAACUGACCAUAGCCAUC
rnacentral:lncRNA from 1 species